UACGUAGGCAGCGAGCGUUGUUCGGAGUUACUGGGCGGAAAGGGUGUGUAGGCGGUUGCUUAAGUUUGGUGUGAAAUCUCCCGGCUCAACUGGGAGGGUGCGCCGAAUACUGAGUGACUCGAGUGCGGGAGAGGAGAGUGGAAUUCCUGGUGUAGCGGUGAAAUGCGUAGAUAUCAGGAGGAACACCGGUGGUGUAGACGGCUCUCUGGACCGUAACUGACGCUGAGACACGAAAGCGUGGGUAGCAAACAGG
rnacentral:rRNA from 1 species